rnacentral:rRNA from 1 species
AACGAACGCUGGCGGCAGGCCUAACACAUGCAAGUCGAGCGAGGACUUCGGUUCUAGCGGCGGACGGGUGAGUAACGCGUGGGAAUGUGCCCUUCUCUACGGAAUAGCCCUGGGAAACUGGGAGUAAUACCGUAUACGCCCUAUUGGGGAAAGAUUUAUCGGAGAAGGAUCAGCCCGCGUUGGAUUAGGUAGUUGGUGGGGUAAUGGCCUACCAAGCCGACGAUCCAUAGCUGGGUUGAGAGGAUGAUCAGCCACACUGGGACUGAGACACGGCCCAGACUCCUACGGGAGGCAGCAGUGGGGAAUCUUAGACAAUGGGGGCAACCCUGAUCUAGCCAUGCCGCGUGAGUGAUGAAGGCCUUAGGGUUGUAAAGCUCUUUCAGCUGGGAAGAUAAUGACGGUACCAGCAGAAGAAGCCCCGGCUAACUCCGUG